CUAUUUUCUUGAUGGUUCCCACCGCUAUAAAACGUGACUCUCUCCAAAUGACCUACCGCACUUUCAGUGCUUCUCUCCCGUUUCUGUAAAAGAAAAAUGGCGAAAUUGAAGAAUUUUUUGUUUGUUCCCAUCAUUUUCUCUUCGUUAUUUUCUGUUAUUUCAUCAGAAGUUCAUAUUGAAGAACGAUUUGAAGAAUAUAUUGAAGAUGGCUGGGAAAGUCGUUGGGUAAAAUCAGAUUGGAAGAAAGAUGAAAACAUGGCAGGGGAUUGGAUACAUACUUCUGGAAAUUGGAGUGGAGAUCCUAAUGACAAAGGGAUUCAGACUUCUCCUGAUUACAGGUUCUUUGCCAUCUCUUCACAGUUUCCUGUGUUCAGCAAUAAGGGCAAGACAUUGGUCUUCCAGUUUUCUGUAAAGCAUGAACAGAAGCUUGACUGCGGUGGUGGGUAUAUGAAGUUGCUGAGUGAUGAUGUUGAUCAAAAGAAAUUUGGUGGGGAGACACCAUAUAGCAUUAUGUUUGGACCAGAUAUCUGUGGCUAUAGCACAAAAAAGGUCCAUGCUAUCCUCAGCCGAGAUGGGAAAAACCACUUGAUAAAGAAGGAUGUGCCCUGUGAGACAGACCAGCUUACUCAUGUCUAUACCUUCAUCAUUCGUCCUGAUGCUACCUAUAGCAUUCUUAUCGAUAACCAAGAGAAAGAAACUGGGAGCCUUUAUACAGACUGGGAUUUGCAACCUCCAAAGCAAAUAAAGGAUCCUGAAGCCAAAAAGCCAGAAGAUUGGGAUGAAAAAGAAUACAUUCCUGACCCUGAAGACAAGAAGCCUGAGGGGUAUGAUGACAUUCCAAAGGAGAUUCCAGACCCUGAGGCCAAAAAGCCGGAAGAUUGGGAUGACGAGGAAGAUGGUGAGUGGACUGCUCCUACCAUUCCAAAUCCUGAAUACAAGGGUCCAUGGAAGCCCAAGAAAAUCAAGAACCCCUCUUACAAGGGAAAAUGGAAGGCACCAAUGAUGGACAACCCAGAUUUCAAGGAUGAUCCAGAUCUUUAUGUUUUCCCCAAUUUGAAAUACGUGGCCAUUGAGUUGUGGCAGGUCAAAUCAGGAACUCUGUUCGACAACAUUCUAAUUUGUGACGACCCUGAAUACGCAAGGAAGUUUGCUGAAGAAACUUGGGGAAAAUACAAGGAUGCUGAGAAGGCAGCGUUUGAUGAAGCUGAGAAAAAGAAACAGGCUGAGGAGGAGGCUGAAAAGAGUGAUGCGGAAGAGUCAGAUGAAGAAGAACCAGAAGAGACUGAGGCUGAGGAGGCUGAAGAUGAUGCUGACAACUCCAGCAAACAUGAUGAACUCUAGACUUCCCUCCGUGGGUACUUCACAUUUUUGCAAUAGAGGUUUGUGGCUAGGGUAUCAACUCUGGAGUUUACUUAUCCUUCUUCAAAAGGAUAUUCAUGCUGAUUUGUGAGUGAAAAGGGUGAAAGCCUCGACGCAACGGUCUCCACUAUGGCCUCAUUGAGGCGUUUCAUACCCACAUCCUAUUUGGUUAAGAGGAUUAUAGUAUACUUUCGAUUGAGUUUGAUGGGUUGGAUUCACAUUCUCGGAGUGAAUUAUUUCAAAUUUCAGAGCAUUUUAUUUUUAAACGCUCGCUCUCUCUUUCUCUCUUGCACGCUCCCUCUCAUGCAAACAAAUUCAAUAGAGAGGUCUUGGGCUACCGCUACCUGGUGAUGAAGAUUUUCCUUUUCCAUUUGAUUGUUAAGUUGAG